rnacentral:rRNA from 1 species
UACCCUAUUAUUUUGAAUGUAAUAAAAUUACUUGAGUAUUAGUAGUUAUGGUCUUGAAACUUAAAAAAUUUGGCGGUAUUUUAGUCUAUUCAGAGGAACCUGUUAUAUAAUCGAUAAUCCACGAUGGACCUAACUUAAUUUUGUUUUUCAAUUUAUAUAUCGCUGUUAUAGAAUAUUUUAUAAGAAAAAUAAUUUUCAAUUAAUUUUAUAAAAUUAUAUAUCAAGUCAAGGUGUAGUUUAUGAUUAAGUAUUUUAUGGGUUACAAUAAAUUUAUUUAAACGGAUUUAAAAUUGAAAUAAUUUUAAUGAAGGUGGAUUUGAUAGUAAAUUUUUAAAGAUAGAAAAAUUGAUUUUAGCUCUAAAAUAUGCACACAUCGCCGGU